AGACGUUUUCAGUUCGGGAAUAAAGGAGAAAGAUGUUUCAACUGGAAAAUAAAUAAAGGAGAAAGACGUUUCAGCUGUUAAAAGACCCCAUUAUGAGAGGAGUUAAGGCCAUAAAGGAGACGUUUUCAGUUGGAAAAUUAAAGGAAUUAUGAUGCAAUCCCAUCCGUCCAAUGAUGAAGGGUAUGAUCGACAAAAGCCAACCAAUGCUCCCCUAUAAAUAGGCAACGUCCAGAACAGAAUUUCCAUCACUUCCUAGCCAAGAUCACUUCCUUGCCUAUCACUUCCGGGCCUAUCACUUCCUGGCCAAAAACUAUUCCAAGACUCUGCCCAAUUCACUCCUCAAACUUCCAUCACCUACAAGACCGUGACACCAUCCAUCCAUCAAUCUACGAAGCUCUAAGGCGCUGAGUCUAGGACGCUCCACCACCAUAGCAGAGACGAGUUUAUCACCUUGUUGCUAAGCCGCUGAGGAAAGCUUCAAAGCGGUUAAAUUGUGAGGCUAUUUUAGCCGCAUCACCGCUACCCUCAUGCCAACCAGAAAACAGGGACCAGUGCCCCACGCACCUAGUCGCAGAUGCACCACCAUCCAUGGUGAUGAGAUUUUGUCGAAAACAGCAGUCUUCGAGUAAACCCUAGCAGAGCUAGGUCGAGAGAUAUCACCCUAACCUCAUCAAAAUAUUAGUUAAAUAUUUUCUUAUAGGUUAAAUUCUCUCAUCAUCUUCAUAAUACAAUCGAUGUAUCUUUAAGAUCAUACGUAUAAAGCCAAAUUGGUUGAAACAUAUUGAAAGAAGUUAUAAAACCAUCAAAUAUAUCUUGGAUACAAGAAUACAUCAUAAUCAAUCACUUUAUUUGCAAAACGACCA